rnacentral:rRNA from 1 species
UACGGGGGGGGCAAGCGUUGUUCGGAAUUACUGGGCGUAAAGGGCUCGUAGGCGGCCAACUAAGUCAGACGUGAAAUCCCCAGGCUCAACUUGGGAACUGCGUCCGAUACUGGAUGGCUUGAAUUCGGGAGAGGGAUGCAGAAUUCCAGGUGUAGCGGUGAAAUGCGUAGAUAUCUGGAGGAAUACCGGUGGCGAAGGCGGCAUCCUGGACCGACAUUGACGCUGAUGAGCGAAAGCCAGGGGAGCAAACGGG